rnacentral:rRNA from 1 species
GAGUUUGAUCCUGGCUCAGGACGAACGCUGGCGGCGUGCUUAACACAUGCAAGUCGAACGGGACUGCUUACGAAGGAGUUUUCGGUACAACGGAGUAGUAGUUUAGUGGCGGACUGGUGAGUAACGCGUGAGGAACCUGCCUUUCAGAGGGGGACAACAGUUGGAAACGACUGCUAAUACCGCAUGACGCAUACUCGGGACAGUCCCGGGGAUGCCAAAAGAUUUAUCGCUGAAAGAUGGCCUCGCGUCUGAUUAGCU